rnacentral:rRNA from 1 species
GAUGAACGCUGGCGGCGUGCUUAACACAUGCAAGUCGAGCGAGUGAGUUCUUCGGAACGAUCUAGCGGCGGACGGGUGAGUAACACGUGGGCAACCUGCCUCAUAGAGGGGAAUAGCCUCCCGAAAGGGAGAUUAAUACCGCAUAACAUCGUUGAAGGGCAUCCUUCGAUGAUCAAAGGAGCAAUCCGCUAUGAGGUGGGCCCGCGGCGCAUUAGCUAGUUGGUGAGGUAACGGCUCACCAAGGCGACGAUGCGUAGCCGACCUGAGAGGGUGAUCGGCCACAUUGGGGAGGAGACACGGCGCAGAGUCGUACGGGAGGCAGCAGUGGGGAAUAUUGCACAAUGGGGGAAGCCCUGAUGCAGCAACGCCGCGUGAGUGAUGACGGCCUUCGGGUUGUAAAGCUCUGUCUUUGGGGACGAUAAUGACGGUACCCAAGGAGGAAGUCACGGCUAACUACGUGCCAGCAGCCGCAGUAA